GACGAACGCUGGCGGCGUGCUUAACACAUGCAAGUCGAACGGAAAGGCCCUGCUUUUGUGGGGUGCUCGAGUGGCGAACGGGUGAGUAACACGUGAGUAACCUGCCCUUGACUUUGGGAUAACUUCAGGAAACUGGGGCUAAUACCGGAUAGGAGCUCCUGCUGCAUGGGGGGGGUUGGAAAGUUUCGGCGGUUGGGGAUGGACUCGCGGCUUAUCAGCUUGUUGGUGGGGUAGUGGCUUACCAAGGCUUUGACGGGUAGCCGGCCUGAGAGGGUGAACGGCCACAUUGGGCCUGAGGUACGGCCCAGACUCCUACGGGAGGCAGCAGUGGGGAAUAUUGCACAAUGGGCGGAAGCCUGAUGCAGCAACGCCGCGUGCGGGAUGACGGCCUUCGGGUUGUAAACCGCUUUCGCCUGUGCCGAAGCGUGAGUGACGGUAAUGGGUAAAGAAGCACCGGCUAACUACGUG
rnacentral:rRNA from 1 species